AAGUGUGCAAGCGUGAUAGUGGGUGACGGACGCCGUUUGCCGGCUUCUAGCUCAGCUAAAAUGCAUAAGCCCCACAAGCAAUCCAUUGAAACCGACAAGUAUUUGCCAUCGACUUCAACAGAAAUUGUACAGCAAGACAAUACAUUUGCGUUAACGGUGCUACAAACAUAUAUACAAAGGUAUUUGCUGCUUGUGUGAACAAUUACCGGCUUACAUACAUACAUACAUACAUACAUAUAUACCAAAUCGCUCAAUGCCAUAUUAACACUUUUAUGGCGAGCCAAAAACAAAAAAAAUAUAUAAAAUAAAAGAAACGUCUACAUAACAACAUUGAGAACGACUUGAAAACCGAUUGUCAGUUUGAGAUGGUUUUUGCGCUUUUUUGGUCACUACAAGAGGCAAAUAAAGAAGUCAAAGACUGAGUGGCUUGAGUGGAGCGGGUUUAUGGGCGUUAACGCAUUUUAGAAAACUGAAAAACAGUGUCAACCAACAAUGAUCGCGGUGCGCAAGGUCAGUGCAGUCUGGUAGGUGAUAAGUAUAUUAAAGUUCAUCUUAUACCGGGUACAGCUAAGACAACGCGAUAAGUUUAAGGCGAAGUUCGUGCAGAUCUUAAAUAAUUAAAAGAAACAACGGUUGUAUGGCACACACAAAGCGUUCUACAAGCUACUUUAUUCUUUAAAUUAUUUGAAUAUUUUCAGGAAGUGUGGAGAAAUCAGAAAUUUUUAGAUAUUUUUGUAUUUAUAUUCUGGAAUAUAUACAUUUUAGACCAGAUAUAUUCCUUAUAUUGUAGUAAAGUAUCUAGAAUAAAUCUUAUUUUAAUGUGUUACCUUGAAUUUCUGCAUAUAAAAAUAUUAUUGUGGCAUAUUUGAGUAAAUGUUAACCUCAAAUUUAAUCUUUAGUGAUUUCACCAAAUUUAAUUAUUU